UACGUAGGUGGCAAGCGUUAUCCGGAAUUAUUGGGCGUAAAGCGCGCGUAGGCGGUUUUUUUAAGUCUGAUGUGAAAGCCCACGGCUCAACCGUGGAGGGUCAUUGGAAACUGGAAAACUUGAGUGCAGAAGAGGAAAGUGGAAUUCCAUGUGUAGCGGUGAAAUGCGCAGAGAUAUGGAGGAACACCAGUGGCGAAGGCGACUUUCUGGUCUGUAACUUGACGCUGAUGUGCGAAAGCGUGGGGGAUCAAAACAGGAUUUAGAUACCCGUGUAGUCC
rnacentral:rRNA from 1 species